rnacentral:lncRNA from 1 species
CUAAAUUGAAAUAGACUAAUUUUGAAAGAAAAUUGGGGAAAAACUUUAAAACUUUGAAUAUUGCAUAGGUUCACCACAUAUCUAUGUAAAUAAAAGAGGAAGGAACCUUGACUAGUUUUAGGGUUUCUCUAAAAUCCUAGAAAUGAGAAGGCUUGGAAAAACGUCUGGUCUCGAGUCAUAGAUGGCCAUAGCUAGGCUCCUAGAGCUCGAAUACGCUGGAGUAGAACUAGAGAGGCCAUAGAGAUCAGACCUCGAAAUCUUGAACACCCAUGGUUUAGGAGUGAAGGAAGGUGAGUACAGGUUGUCCAUGGCCUGUAAAACCAUGGACUCCAGUGAGAUUUGUCGGAGAGGACGAGGGAGGCGAGUAGGGUUUUGAUAGGCAAAUGAGCGUUUGAGAGAAGAAAGCAAGUUUGGG